rnacentral:tRNA from 1 species
GGAGAGGUGACCGAGUGGUCGAAGGUGCACGCCUGGAGAGCGUGUGCGCUUAACGGCGCCGCGGGUUCGAAUCCCGCCCUCUCCGCCA